rnacentral:rRNA from 1 species
GACGAACGCUGGCGGCGUGCUUAACACAUGCAAGUCGAACGAUGAAGCCCAGCUUGCUGGGUGGAUUAGUGGCGAACGGGUGAGUAAUACGUGAGUAACCUGCCUUUAACUCUGGGAUAAGCCUUGGAAACGGGGUCUAAUACUGGAUACGACCAACCCUCGCAUGGGGUGUUGGUGGAAAGGGAUUUUGUACUGGUUUUAGAUGGGCUCACGGCCUAUCAGCUUGUUGGUGAGGUAACGGCUCACCAAGGCGACGACGGGUAGCCGGCCUGAGAGGGUGACCGGCCACACUGGGACUGAGACACGGCCCAGACUCCUACGGGAGGCAGCAGUGGGGAAUAUUGCACAAUGGGCGCAAGCCUGAUGCAGCGACGCCGCGUGAGGGAUGACGGCCUUCGGGUUGUAAACCUCUUUCAGCAGGGGAGAAGCGAAAGUGACGGUACCUGCAGAAGAAGCGCCGGCUAACUACGUGCCAGCAGCCGCGGUAAUACGUAGGGCGCGAGCGUUGUCCGGAAUUAUUGGGCGUAAAGAGCUUGUAGGCGGUUUGUCGCGUCUGCUGUGAAAGCCCGGGGCUUAACCCCGGGUUUGCAGUGGGUACGGGCAGACUAGAGUGCAGUAGGGGAGACUGGAAUUCCUGGUGUAGCGGUGAAAUGCGCAGAUAUCAGGAGGAACACCAAUGGCGAAGGCAGGUCUCUGGGCUGUAACUGACGCUGAGAAGCGAAAGCAUGGGGAGCAAACAGGAUUAGAUACCCUGGUAGUCCAUGCCGUAAACGUUGGGCACUAGGUGUGGGGAACAUUCCACGUUUUCCGCGCCGUAGCUAACGCAUUAAGUGCCCCGCCUGGGGAGUACGGCCGCAAGGCUAAAACUCAAAGAAAUUGACGGGGGCCCGCACAAGCGGCGGAGCAUGCGGAUUAAUUCGAUGCAACGCGAAGAACCUUACCAAGGCUUGACAUAUACUAGACCGCCUCAGAGAUGGGGUUUCCCUUCGGGGCUGGUAUACAGGUGGUGCAUGGUUGUCGUCAGCUCGUGUCGUGAGAUGUUGGGUUAAGUCCCGCAACGAGCGCAACCCUCGUUCUAUGUUGCCAGCACGUAAUGGUGGGGACUCAUAGGAGACUGCCGGGGUUAACUCGGAGGAAGGUGGGGAUGACGUCAAAUCAUCAUGCCCCUUAUGUCUUGGGCUUCACGCAUGCUACAAUGGCCGGUACAAAGGGUUGCGAUACUGUGAGGUUGAGCUAAUCCCAAAAAGCCGGUCUCAGUUCGGAUUGGGGUCUGCAACUCGACCCCAUGAAGUCGGAGUCGCUAGUAAUCGCAGAUCAGCAACGCUGCGGUGAAUACGUUCCCGGGCCU